rnacentral:rRNA from 1 species
CUUGACAUGUCUUGGAUCGGUUUAAGAGAUGUGUCUUUCUUUUGGGAGCCAGACACACAGGCAUGCAUGUCGUCAGUUAGUGUCGUGAGAUGUUGGGUUAAGUCCCUCAACGAGCGCAACCCUCCCUUCUUUGUUGCCAGCCGGUUAUGGUGGGGACUCUUAAGAGACUGCCGGGGUAAAAAGCGAGGAAGGUGGGGGGGAGGUCAAGUCUUCAUGGCCCUUUUGUCCAGGGGUUCACACAUGCUACAAUGGGCGGUACAAAGGGGUGCGAAAGGGUGAGGUGGAGCCAAUUUCAAAAA